AUUGAACGCUGGCGGCAGGCUUAACACAUGCAAGUCGAGCGAGCGGCGGACGGGUGAGUAAUGUCUGGGAAACUGCCUGAGGGAGGGGGAUAACUACUGGAAACGGUAGCUAAUACCGCAUACCAUCAGAUGUGCCCAGAUGGGAUUAGCUAGUAGGUGGGGUCAUGGCUCAACUAGGCGAGGAUCCCUAGCUGGUCUGAGAGGAUGACCGCCCACACUGGAGAUGAGACACGGUCCAGGCUCUUCCUGUAGGCAGCAUUGUCGAAUAUUGCACAAUUGGCGCAAUCCUGAUGCAGCCAUGCCGCGUGUGUGAAGAAGGCCUUCGUGUUGUAUAGCACUUUCAGCGAGGAGGCGUUACUCGCAGAAGAAGCACCGGCUAACUCCGUGCCAGCAGCCGCGGUAAAC
rnacentral:rRNA from 1 species